GUCGGCAUAGCUCAGGUAGUUAGAGCGGCACACUCAUAAAGUGCAGGUCCCAGGUGCAACUCCUGGUGCCGACA
rnacentral:tRNA from 1 species